rnacentral:rRNA from 1 species
AGGGUGAUCGGCCACAUUGGAACUGAGACACGGUCCAAACUCCUACGGGAGGCAGCAGUGGGGAAUAUUGCACAAUGGGCGAAAGCCUGAUGCAGCAACGCCGCGUGAGUGAUGAAGGCCUUCGGGUCGUAAAACUCUGUCCUCAAGGAAGAUAAUGACGGUACUUGAGGAGGAAGCCCCGGCUAACUACGUGCCAGCAGCCGCGGUAAUACGUAGGGGGCUAGCGUUAUCCGGAUUUACUGGGCGUAAAGGGUGCGUAGGCGGUCUUUCAAGUCAGGAGUGAAAGGCUACGGCUCAACCGUAGUAAGCUCUUGAAACUGGGAGACUUGAGUGCAGGAGAGGAGAGUGGAAUUCCUAGUGUAGCGGUGAAAUGCGUAGAUAUUAGGAGGAACACCAGUUGCGAAGGCGGCUCUCUGGACUGUAACUGACGCUGAGGCACGAAAGCGUGGGGAGCAAACAGGAUUAGAUACCCUGGUAGUCCACGCUGUAAACGAUGAGUAC